rnacentral:lncRNA from 1 species
AUGAGUACAAAUCGCCGCCACCUCCUUCCCCUUCCCCACCUCCUCCUUAUCUUUACAAGUCGCCGCCACCUCCUUCACCGUCUCCUCCUCCUCCUCCUUAUGUGUACAAGUCACCGCCACCUCCUUCACCGUCCCCACCACCACCAUACGUGUACAAGUCGCCACCACCACCUUCCCCGUCUCCGCCACCACCAUAUGAGUACAAGUCGCCGCCACCACCUUCCCCGUCUCCACCACCACCAUAUGAGUACAAAUCUCCUCCUCCACCAUCACCGUCACCUCCCCCCCCUUACCACCACUCCUCUCCACCACCACCUUCGCCAUCUCCUCCUCCACCUUACCACGACUCCUCUCCACCACCACCUUCGCCAUCUCCUCCUCCACCUUACCACGACUCCUCUCCACCACCACCUUCGCCAUCUCCUCCUCCACCUUACCACGACUCCUCUCCACCACCACCUUCGCCAUCUCCUCCUCCACCUUACCACGACUCCUCUCCACCACCACCUUCGCCAUCUCCUCCUCCACCUUACCACGACUCCUCUCCACCACCACCAUAUGAGUACAAAUCUCCUCCUCCACCAUCACCGUCACCUCCCCCACCUUACGAGUACAAGUCUCCUCCUCCUCCUUCACCGUCACCACCGCCACCAUACUACUACAAGUCACCGCCGCCACCAUCACCCUCUCCUCCUCCACCAUACUACUAUAAAUCUCCACCACCACCUUCUCCAUCUCCGCCGCCACCUUACCACUACUCUUCUCCACCACCACCUAAGAAAUCACCUCCACCACCAUACUACUACAAAUCUCCACCACCACCUUCGCCAUCUCCUCCUCCACCUUACCACUACUCCUCUCCACCACCACCUAAAAAAUCACCUCCACCACCAUACUACUAUAAGUCUCCACCACCACCUUCACCAUCUCCUCCACCACCGUACUACUAUAAGUCUCCGCCGCCACCAUCACCCUCUCCUCCACCACCAUACUAUUAUAAAUCCCCACCACCACCUUCACCAUCUCCUCCACCGCCGUACUACUACAAGUCCCCACCACCACCUUCUCCGUCUCCUCCACCACCAUAUUACUACAAAUCUCCACCACCGCCAUCACCAUCACCUCCACCACCAUACUACUACAAAUCUCCACCACCGCCAUCACCAUCACCUCCACCACCAUACUACUACACAUCCCCAAAUCUCCACCACCGCCAUCACCAUCACCUCCACCACCAUACUACUACAAAUCCCCUCCACCUCCGGCGAAAUCUCCCCCACCACCUCCGUACUAUUACAAGUCUCCGCCGCCACCUAAGGCUUACCCUC